UACGUAGGGGGCAAGCGUUGUCCGGAAUCAUUGGGCGUAAAGCGCGCGUAGGUGGCUAGAUCAGUCUGCUGUAAAAGUCAAAGGCUCAACCUUUGAAAGCCGGUGGAUACUGUCUAGCUAGAGUCCGGAAGAGGCGAGUGGAAUUCCUGGUGUAGCGGUGGAAUGCGCAGAUAUCAGGAGGAACACCAACGGCGAAGGCAGCUCGCUGGGACGGUACUGACGCUAAGGCGCGAAAGCGUGGGGAGCGAACAGG
rnacentral:rRNA from 1 species